UAGGGAAUCUUCGGCAAUGGACGAAAGUCUGACCGAGCAACGCCGCGUGAGUGAAGAAGGUUUUCGGAUCGUAAAACUCUGUUGUUAGAGAAGAACAAGGACGUUAGUAACUGAACGUCCACUGACGGUAUCUAACCAGAAAGCCACGGCUAACUACGUGCCAGCAGCCGCGGUAAUACGUAGGUGGCAAGCGUUUUCCGGAUGUAUUGGGCGUAAAGCGAGCGCAGGCGGUUUCUUAAGCCUGAUGUGAAAGCCCCCGGCUCAACCGGGGAGGGUCAUUGGAAGCUGGGAGACUUGAGUGCAGAAGAGGAGGGUGGAAUUCCAUGUGUAGCGGUGAGAUGCGUAGAUAUAUGGAGGAACACCAGUGGCGAAGGCGGCUCACUGGGCGGUAACUGACGCUGAGGCUCGAAAGCGUGGGGAGCAAACAGG
rnacentral:rRNA from 1 species